CACGUAGGGCGCAAGCGUUGUCCGGAAUUAGUGGGCGUAAAGAGCUCGUAGGUGGUUUGUUACGUCUGCUGUGAAAACCUAGGGCUUAACCCUGGGCUUGCAGUGGAUACGGGCAGACUAGAGGUAGGUAGGGGAGAAUGGAAUUCCUGGUGUAGCGGUGAAAUGCGCAGAUAUCAGGAGGAACACCGGUGGCGAAGGCGGUUCUCUGGGCCUUACCUGACACUGAGGAGCGAAAGCGUGGGGAGCGAACAGG
rnacentral:rRNA from 1 species